ensembl:lncRNA
AGGAUACCCACCACGAGAUGGUCACAAGCAGUGGUUUCACUGAGUUGUGCCUGAUCGCUAAGAUCCAACAAACGGAGGAUACCAUCCCCAAAGAACAUCAGAUCCUUAUCACCAGGAUCCAAGAAUUAGAGGACAACAAAACACUCCUGGAAAACAUCUGCAUGUACUUAAAUAAAUAUAAAUAAUAAGACCGGCAGACGGAGAUGGACAAAAUGAGGCAUAAGAUGCAGGACAAGGAGAUAAAGAAAUAGGAGAGAGAAGAAAAAGCAGACCAUCCAGGACGUCAACAUCAACGUGCCUGAGACUGGACACCUGUAAGAACACCUUCCUUCACCUCCCACUCCAUCCUACCUCAUCUAUCUACCCUGAAAAAAAAAAAUCUAAAAAAAAAAAAAAAAGAGAUCUGAAAAAAAAGAGAUCUAAAUAAGAAAGAUCUAAAAAAAAAAAAAGAUCCCAGAGGGAUUCUCUGGCUGCUUAUUUUUUUUACAACCUAAUCAGGUUUGCACAUUUCCCUUACCUCAUUUCUGCCUUAUUUUUAUUUCAUGUACAUUUAUUUAAAUAUUGUUUUGUUAUUUUUUAUUUUUUAAUUGGUCGGCUUUAAUUAACUGUACUGUUAAUUUAUAUUGCACACAUUUCAUUUCUUUUUUUUUUACAACCUGCCGAGAGGAUACCCACCACGAGAUGGUCACAAGCAGUGGUUUCACUGAGUUGUGCCUGAUCGCUAAGAUCCAACAAACGGAGGAUACCAUCCCCAAAGAACAUCAGAUCCUUAUCACCAGGAUCCAAGAAUUAGAGGACAACAAAACAGUCCUUGAAAACAUCUGCCUGUACUUAAAAAAAAAAAAAAAAAAAAGACCGGCAGACGGAGAUGGACAAAAUGAGGCAUAAGAUGCAGGACAAGGAGACAAAGAAAUAGGAGAGAGAAGAAAAAGCAGACCAUCCAGGACGUCAACAUCAACGUGCCUGAGACUGGACACCUGUAAGAACACCUUCCUUCACCUCCCACUCCAUCCUAUCUCAUCCAUCUACCCUGAAAAAAAAAUUCUGAAAAAAGAAUACCAUCCCCAAAGAACAUCAGAUCCGUAUCACCAGGAUCCAAGAAUUAGAGGACAACAAAACAGUCCUUGAAAACAUCUGCCUGUACUUAAAAAAAAAAAAAAAAGACCGGCAGACGGAGAUGGACAAAAUGAGGCAUAAGAUGCAGGACAAGGAGACAAAGAAAUAGGAGAGAGAAGAAAAAGCAGACCAUCCAGGACGUCAACAUCAACGUGCCUGAGACUGGACACCUGUAAGAACACCUUCCUUCACCUCCCACUCCAUCCUACCUCAUCCAUCUACCCUGAAAAAAAAGAAAUUUAAAAAAAACUAAAAAAGAUCUAAAAAAAAAAAAAAAAAAAAAACAAGAUCUGAAAAAAAAGAGAGAUCUAAAUAAGAAAGAUCUAAAAAAAAAAAAAAUAUCCCAGAAGGAUUCUCUGGCUGCUUAUUUUUUUUACAACCUAAUCAUGUUUGCACAUUUCCCUUACCUCAUUUUCAUUUCAUGUACAUUUAUUUAAAUAUUGUUUUGUUAUUUUUUAAUUUUUUAAUUGGUCGGCUUUAAUUAACUGUACUAUUAAUUUAUAUUGCACACAUUUAAUUUCAUUUUUUUUUUACAACCUGCCGAGAGAAUACCCACCACGAGAUGGUCACAAGCAGUGGUUUCACUGAGUUGUGCCUGAUCGCUAAGAAUUAGAGGACAACAAAACAGUCCUUGAAAACAUCUGCAUGUUCUUAAAAAAAAAAAAAAAAGACCGGCAGACGGAGAUGGACAAAAUGAGGCAUAAGAUGCAGGACAAGGAGAUAAAGAAAUAGUAGAGAGAAGAAAAAGCAGACCAUCCAGGACGUCAACAUCAACGUGCCUGAGACUGGACACCUGUAAGAACACCUUCCUUCACCUCCCACUCCAUCCUACCUCAUCUAUCUACCCUGAAAAAAAAAAAUCUAAAAAAAAAAAAAAAAGAUCUAAAAAAAAAAAAAAAAAAAAAGAGAUCUGAAAAAAAAGAGAUCUAAAUAAGAAAGAUCUAAAAAAAAAAAAAGAUCCCAGAGGGAUUCUCUGGCUGCUUAUUUUUUUUACAACCUAAUCAGGUUUGCACAUUUCCCUUACCUCAUUUCUGCCUUAUUUUUAUUUCAUGUACAUUUAUUUAAAUAUUGUUUUGUUAUUUUUUAUUUUUUAAUUGGGCGGCUUUGAUUAACUGUACUGUUAAUUUAUAUUGCACACAUUUCAUUUCAUUUUUCUCUGACAACCUGCCGAGAGGAUACCCACCACGAGAUGGUCACAAGCAGUGGUUUCACUGAGUUGUGCCUGAUCGCUAAGAUCCAACAAACGGAGGAUACCAUCCCCAAAGAACAUCAGAUCCUUAUCACCAGGAUCCAAGAAUUAGAGGACAACAAAACAGUCCUUGAAAACAUCUGCAUGUACUUAAAAAAAAAAAAAAAAAGACCGGCAGACGGAGAUGGACAAAAUGAGGCAUAAGAUGCAGGACAAGGAGACAAAGAAAUAGGAGAGAGAAGAAAAAGCAGACCAUCCAGGACGUCAACAUCAACGUGCCUGAGACUGGACACCUGUAAGAACACCUUCCUUCACCUCCCACUCCAUCCUAUCUCAUCCAUCUACCCUGAAAAAAAAAUUCUGAAAAAAAGAAUACCAUCCCCAAAGAACAUCAGAUCCGUAUCACCAGGAUCCAAGAAUUAGAGGACAACAAAACAGUCCUUGAAAACAUCUGCCUGUACUUAAAAAAAAAAAAAAAAGACCGGCAGACGGAGAUGGACAAAAUGAGGCAUAAGAUGCAGGACAAGGAGACAAAGAAAUAGAAGAGAGAAGAAAAAGCAGACCAUCCAGGACGUCAACAUCAACGUGCCUGAGACUGGACACCUGUAAGAACACCUUCCUUCACCUCCAACUCCAUCCUACCUCAUCCAUCUACCUUGAAAAAAAAGAAAUUCUGAAAAAAACUCAAAAAGAUCUAAAAAAAAAAAAAAGAAAGAGAUCUGAAAAAAGAGAUCUAAAUAAGAAAGAUCUAAAAAAAAAAAAAAGAUCCCUCUCUGGCUGCUUAUUUUUUUUUACAACCUAAUCAGGUUUGCACAUUUCCCUUACCUCAUUUCUGCCUUAUUUUGUACAUUUAAGUAAAUAUUGUUUUGUUAGUUUUUAUUUUUUUAUUGGUCAGCUUUAAUUAACUGUACUGUUAAUUUCUAUUGCACACAUUUCAUUUCAUUUUUUUUUUACAACCUGCCUAGAGGAUACCCACCACGAGAUGGUUACAAGCAGUGGUUUCACUGAGUUGUGCCUGAUCUCUAAGAUCCAACAAACAGAGGAUACUAUCCCCAAAGAACAUCAGAUCUUAAUCCCCAGGAUCCAAGAAUUAGAGGACAAAAGAGUCCUUGAAUACAUCUGCAUGUACUUAAAAAAAAAAAAAAAAAGACCGGCAGACGGAGAUGGACAAAAUGAGGCGCAAGAUACAGGACAAGGAGACAAAGAAAUAGGAGAGAGAAGAGAAGAAAAAGGAGACCAUCCGGGACGUCAACAUCAACGUGCCUGAGACAGGACACCUGUAAGAACACCUUCCUUCACCUCCCACUCCAUCCUACCUCAUCCUUCUCAAAUAACAAUAAAGGAAAUGUUUACCCCAAUCUGCUGUCUACUGGUUAUCACUAGAUUGUACUUACAGACCAACUUAUUUUACUGUUCACUACAGUGAUUCACUUAUUUUCACUUAUUACACAUGUAGACAUUAGUAAUUGAAAUAUAUUAACUUGGUUGUUGUUGUUGUUCCUGUUUAUGUUGCUGCUGCUUUUCCAUGAUGUUGAGUACAAUCUUCUCAAUAGAAGCUUGUGUCAGCAUCUGAACAGGUGGAGGUGGGUGAACAAUAGCAACAGACAUCGUAACAACUGGCACACUAGUGGUCUCACUCACCUCUGUCAGAGAGUUUCUGCCUCUCUUACAGUUUUUCUGGACUGACGUUUAAAGAGGAACUGGUGUUCAACAAUUUGCUGAGGUGCUUUACAUAUUGUAGAAUAUGUAGUUUUGUUGUUGGGUGGAGCAUGCUGUUGGGGUCUGUACAGGAGUUGUGAACUAGAGCAGCGUAGUCCUGGUCCACAAGCUUCAGUGUGUCUUUCUGCUCACGGGGUUUGUUGAGCAGCUGGUCGAUAACUGCCAGCGACGGCGGACGUGGAGUUUCUACAGGAACAAAAGACUGAGUAUAAUAAGUCAUUCUGACCUAUAGAAUCAAAUACUUGUAUAAUAAAUAUAAACUUUCAUUAAAAUCUCAUGAAAGACUGGUAUUUGUAUGUGAAUGUUUAUUCAAUAACACCCUAAAUAUAUUUUCACAUCUUGUAAAAAAAUGGAAAAGUGACACAAACGUAUGGAGAAAACUGGAACAACCUUGAUGGUGCCAGUGAGGAUGACAGAGGAACCUCCGACUCGGUGGCGAGUGGAUCACUUUGAGGAGGUGGAUUCGGGGCCUGGGUGUGAUCUGUCUUGCUGUAUAUAUUGAUAUUAUUUACCUGUCUACCCACUGUUAUUGUGCCCAUACCUUAUGCAGUCUCCAUUGAUGCCUAAUAAACAUUGAUACAAGUAGGCUAUGGUUAAAGUGGUGAACUUAUAAAGUCUUAAAAGUUUUGUUUUCCCUUCUCAACACAUUAUGCAUUUGAAGGUGGAGUAAGCAAGAGUUUUUUUUAUAUAUAUACACACUGUUACGGCUGUCACCGUGGUCUGUAUUUCUGUCUUGUCUGUACCAAGUAGGCUGUGCGGCCCUGUGGACUGAAGCCCCGCCUACUUCCUGGUUUCGGUGGAGCCCCACAGGUUCACUCCAGCUCCACCCAUUCGUCCACCCUGUCCCAGCGCGCCCAAUGGCAGGUCACCAUCGCAGCCUUACCUCCAGCUCUUAAGGAGAGCCCACCAGUGGCUCGGGGUGGCUUGUCUUGGCCAGUGGACUUGUGUGCCUUCUGUGUUUGUAAUUGAGUGCAACUGGGUAGAGAACUGUGCUUUGGUUCUGUGUGUUUUUGCCAGCACGGAGCUGACAAAAGGGGGUGAGUUAGGGCCAGAGUCUAUACUGAUUUCACCACACGUAGUUCUGUGUUUGUUAGCUUCAUAGGUGUAGUGGGUGCUGUGCUCUUUGUGUUUUUUAUGGUAAGCGCCUACUGUUUGUUUUAACGUAUAUUCAGGCAUAGUUCUCCUUUUGGGGAUCUCUUUUAUUUUACUUAGUUUGUCUUUUCACAGCACCCUCAUCCACCCUCCUUUUGUUUGUUGUUACGUGCCUGUUUACCUCUGGUUGCCAAUAAAUACUACCCUUUUACACCCGACCAGGUUCUGCCUAUAUGUUUAUGGUCCCCGCACCCCUAGACCAUCCAGGGGGUCGUAACACACACACAUUACGUUUUCUUGAGGUGCAAGGAAAUACAAAAAUGAAGAGAUUAGCAACAUGUUUUUGUACCAUUCAGGUUGCUUCCCAUUCCAGAACAUCUUUCAGAUGUGCAUUUUCACUUUUGAGAGACUGAACUUCAUUUCGCAACUCCUGCAAAUUUCUUUGCAUUUGUUCAAUUUUUUUUCUCUCCCACAUCUGUUCGUCCAGUUGCUUUCUAAAUUCAGCAGCACUCUAUGAGAAAGAGAAAUACAGAGAAGAACAACAGCUAAUUGUUAUAUAACUUUAACUUUUGUAAAUGGUUGAUUCUGAUUUUCUGGGAGGAUGUCAUAAGAAAUGUAAGAGGAAGGUAGCAAGACGUCUACGGCACAGACGUCUACACCACACACCGGAUGUCAUCAUUUAGGCUACCUUUUUCUUUGAGGCUGGUACUUUGUCGUCUUCA